AGCGAACGCUGGCGGCGUGCCUAACACAUGCAAGUCGAACGCGAAAGCCCCUUCGGGGGUAAGUAGAGUGGCGUCCGGGUGAGUAACACGUAGGUAAUCUACCUUCGGGUGGGGAAUAACCAGUCGAAAGAUUGGCUAAUACCGCAUAAUGCAGCGGCACCUAAUGGUGAUUAGUUGUUAAAGCGGGGGAUCGUAAGACCUCGCGCCUGAAGAGGAGCCUGCGGCAGAUUAGCUAGNGGUUGAGGUAAUGGCUCACCAAGGCUUCGAUCUGUAGCUGGUCUGAGAGGACGGCCAGCCACACUGGCACUGACACACGGGCCAGACUCCUACGGGAGGCAGCAGUGGGGAAUUUUGGGCAAUGGGCGAAAGCCUGACCCAGCAACGCCGCGUGAGGGAGGAAAUCCUUCGGGAUGUAAACCUCACAAGCAAGGGAAGAGAGCUCAGGGUCGAAU
rnacentral:rRNA from 1 species